AAAAUCACGUAAGAGUAUAUGGUGGAUGCCUUGACUUAAAAAGACUAUGAAGGACGUAACAGCCUGCGAUAAGCUUCGGUGAGGUGGCAAGUAACCUUUGACCCGAGGAUUUCCGAAUGGGGAAACCUAUCCUGUUGAUGACAGGAUGUCCGGUAGCUGAAUACAUAGGCUACUGAGACGACAACCCGAUGAACUGAAACAUCUUAGUAGUCGGAGGAAAAGAGAAAAAAAAUGAUUAUUAGCCAUAGGUGAUGACUCGUCAUCGCUAGUGGCUAGUAAUCUUGAUUCCCUAAGUAGUGGCGAGCGAAAGGGGACAAGUCUAAACCGGUUAAACUAUGGUUACAAGCAGUUUACUGUGAGUAAUCUGAAGGCCCUAAAGCCAUAUGUUUUUCCGGUGUUGCAAGAUGGUUGUGUCGCAGUUUAGGUAAUGCGGCUAGUUGGCACGAUUUAUUAGUUGAAGUGAGCUGGAAAGCUUUGCCAGAGCAGGUGAUAGCCCUGUAAGCGAAAAUAAAUUGUGGAGCUAGUAUAACUAUUCUUAAGUAGGGCGGGACACGAGAAAUCCCGUUUGAAGCUGGGUCGUCUAUGACCCAAGACUAAAUACUUUUUAAGAUCGAUAGUGAAUAAGUACCGUGAGGGAAAGGUGAAAAGCAUCCCGGUGAGGGAGUUGAAAUAGUACCUGAAACCGUAUACUUACAAGCAGUUGGAGCCUGGAGCAAUCCGGGUGACAGCGUGCCUAUUGAAGAAUGAGCCAACGAGUUUAUUGUAUGUGGCUUGGUUAAUCCGCCUUGAGCGGAGGAGCCGUAGUGAAAGCGAGGGUUAAUAGCCCGUUUGUCGCAUGCAUAAGACCCGAAGCCGUGUGAUCUAGCCAUGACCAGGUUGAAGUUUGUCGAAAGACAGAUGGAGGACCGAACCCAUAAGCUGUGCAAAACUUUGGGAUGAGUCGUGGUUGGCGGAGAAAUUCCAAUCGAACUCGGCAAUAGCUGGUUCUCCUCGAAAUAGCUUUUGGGCUAGCCUCGAGCGCUGACCCUAGGGGGUAGAGCACUGAAUGAGGACGGGUUUUACCGUCCUUAACCAAACUCCGAAUACCUAGGGGUGCAGCUCGGGAGUCAGACAGCGAGCGCUAAGGUCCGUUGUCAAAAGGGAAACAGCCCAGACCGUCAGCUAAGGUCCCUAAAUAUAUGCUAAGUGUAAAAGGUUGUGUCGUGACCUCGACAACUAGGAGGUUGGCUUAGAAGCAGCCAUCCUUUAAAGAAAGCGUAACAGCUCACUAGUCAAGUCGUCUCGCGCCGAAAAUUUACCGGGGCUAAGCAUAUUACCGAAGCUACGGACUCUGCAGCAAUGCAGAUUGGUAGAGGAGCGUUUUUAAGCCACAGAAGCUGUCAUGUGAGUGAUGGUGGAGGCUUAGGAAGUGAGAAUGUUGGCAUAAGUAGCAUGAAGGCGGAUGAAAACCCCGCCCACCGAAAAUCUAAGGGUUCCUGGGCAACGUAAAUCGUCCCAGGGUUAGUCGGUCCUAAGGCGAGGCCAUUGUAAUGGUGGCGUAGUCGAUGGAUGAGCUGGUUAAUAUUCCAGCACUAGCACAAUUUUCCGACGGAGUGACGGACUUCUGCAGUUUGAGGGUGUAUUGGUUUGCACCUUGGUGGCUUAGAGAUCUGACUUAGGUAAAUCCGGGUCAAUAAGAUCGAUGAGUUGCCAGCAGAUAAGGCCUUCGGGCUAAGUCAAUUCAAAUGAAUGAGGUUCCCAGAAAAACUUCUAGGGCUAAGGUUGUGGUAUCCGUACCGUAAACCGACACAGGUAGAUGAGGCGAGAAGCCUAAGGUGAACGAGAGAAACAUCGUUAAGGAACUAGGCAAAAAAGCGGUCGUAAGUUAGCGAUAAGACCUGCCCUGAGCAAUCAGGGCCGCAGCGAAUGACUUUCAAGUGACUGUUUACCAAAAACACAGCUCCCUGCUAAAUCGAAAGAUGAUGUAUAGGGGGUGAUGCCUGGCCAGUGUCCGAACGUUAAGAGGAGAGGUCAUCCUAGUUUACUAGGGGCAGCUUUGAAUUUAAGCGCGGAUCAACACCGGCCGUAACUAUAACGGUCCUAAGGUAGCGAAAUUCCUUCUCGAGUAAUUU
rnacentral:rRNA from 1 species